rnacentral:rRNA from 1 species
AGCAGCCGCGGUAAUUCCAGCUCCAAUAGCGUAUAUUAAAGUUGUUGCAGUUAAAAAGCUCGUAGUUGAAUUUCGGGAUCAAUAUGUUGGUCGUGCCUUGGUACGUACUAAUUUAUUGGUUUCUUCCUUCUGACGAACCAUGAUGUCAUUAAUUUGGUGUUAUGGGGAAUCAGGACUGUUACUUUGAAAAAAUUAGAGUGUUUAAAGCAGGCUCACGCUUGAAUACAUUAGCAUGGAAUAAUGAAAUAGGACGUUUGAUUCUAUUUUGUUAGUUUCUAGGAUCGACGUAAUGAUUAAUAGGGAUAGUUGGGGGCAUUAGUAUUCAAUUGUCAGAGGUGAAAUUCUUGGAUUUAUUGAAGACUAACUACUGCGAAAGCAUUUGCCAAGGAUGUUUUCAUUAAUCAAGAACGAAAGUUAGGGGAUCGAAGACGAUCAGAUACCGUCGUAGUCUUAACCAUAAACUAUGCCGACUAGGGAUCGGAUGAUGUUAAUUUUUUAAUGUACUCAUUCGGCGCCUUAC